GGAUGUGAGGGGGAGGAUGACAAAGAGCUCGAAGUGCUCAGAGCACGUCGGGAAUCCAGAUGAUAUGAAAUGGUGCCAUUUUGACUGACCUAGGGCAAGGACAACAUGCCCAGGGCCGGAUCUGUGACGUUUUCAGCAGGAAGGAUCUGGUCAGUCCUGUUGCGUGUCAUCUUCUGCUGCUCAGGCCCUCACCUCUUUUGCUGUCCAAGCCCGACAAAAUGAAGUGCAGAAGGUGACCUACAUUCACAGGC